UAUACAUCAAAUCCAUAAUCUAGAGACUCGAGCUCGAUCUCUUCUCCGUCUCGGCUUGAUUUCUUCUUCGUCUUGAUCUCUGUCUAGGAUCUUCAUCUCAUCUUCACUCUGUAAUUGCAAUUAAGGUGGAAUUUUGAUUUUUCAUCACGUCUUAUUCUUCAAAUCAAGCUUUGUUGCCUACUUCCAGAGUCAAUGUUAAUGAUAUCACUAAAUACACAUCAGGUUUUAAGUCUACACAGGAGAUGGGAAGUUUAUAGAGGGAAUAGAACAGACUCUCACAACAUACUCUUCAUUGUAAAGAAGUCAGACAUCCUUCAACUUAAAACUGAAUUGGAAGUCUUCUUGGCAUCUAACACCUUUGAACGUCACUAUGAUUUCAAAAUCAAAGGCAGCUGGUUCGAGAAAGCAUGUACCAUCUAUGCCGGGAAUUCUUCUAAUGUGUCAUAGCCCAGAGGCCAAAGCUUGGGAGAUCCUGAUGCGUCUUUUUGUGUGGAAGCUUUGGAAAACCUAAUGUGCCCAUCAGAUAGAAUUAUCACCAGCUGCCAUUAUGUAUGCAACUGCUAUUAUGUCCGCCAUCUUUGAAGAGAACAAGGACGAGGACGGCUUUCUCUAUAUGACGUACAAUGGUGAGAAUACAUUGGGAUCCGACUGAAAGGCUCCUCCAAGCUGAAGCUGUGUAGAUAUAUGACCUGUCAGCGGUGGUAAAUAUGUACAUUUGCCUUCAUUGUUACCCUCAUAGUGAUUCUGGAAGAAAUUAAUGAAUAUCGCAAAGAUGAUGACUAAAUGAAGGCUGCCAACUAAGUUAGCAUGUUUAACUAUUCAUAUAUAAGAAGUUCAGACAAAUGAAGAAAUCAAAUUGUAUUUGUGGAAUAUUGUAAUUUGUAUCCAUGACAACAAAGUAAUGCAAAUUUUACCAUUUUUUAUUUA